AUUUCCAAAAUACCUAAAAUUUGGAAAUGACGUCAUAUAUGGUCAAUACUAAUAGUGGAUUUAUCUUCACAAAAUUUAAAAGGAAGUGAGUUUGUCCGCUCCGAACUCAAAAUGUCAAGAUAAUCAUGAUUGGGUUUGAAAUUGUGGCCGAAACCUUCAAAAUCCAAAAAUCCGGAAGUAACGCUAUAUGGCGGCCUCGCCGAAACGUGGACCGUUAUGUCCCAUUUUUAAUGCCAAACAUAUUAGAGGCAAUAUGAAUGUCUGAGCAAAAUUUUAGAGCGAUAGAAUGCUUCCCUGAAUUAAUCUCCGUUUUGGGCAUCUCAUCCCACUGUGCGUCGGGCUACGCUACCAGUAUCACGACUUCAAUUACAUUGACGUUAUGAUACCUGAUGGAGACGUCUGGGUUGGUGACGAACAGCCUCUGGACGUUCCCGCCAUUUAUACAGGCGACUCCAAGAUGGAAAAAGGCACAGGUCCUUGUCGUACUCUGCCCUUGAUCCCUGCAAUCAGAAAGUAAACCGAAAUGCGGGAAUUGAAGCUGUCAAAUGCCAUUAAAUCGAAAACCAUUGUUCAUUACAAAAAAAGGAUCCUUGAAACACAUGGAUUCAUUAUACUUGGUUGGAUUCCAGGACAUAGCAAGUACUGGGGAAUGAAGUGGCAUAUGCAUUAACUCGAGACGGAUCCCAGUCGAAUAAUGAAACCGUUAAACCACCAAUAAGCUAGGCACUGACGUAGCAAAUAGUGUGCUUAGUAACAAUUUCGGGGAGGCCCAAUAUGAGCAAACUAAAUUUUUCAUGCAAAACGUUCACAAAAAAAUUAAAUGUUGACCAUUUAGUCCCCGGCCCGGAAACAUUUUCAAACUAAGUGAUUAGCACACUUAUUGUCUUAGUUUUAUGCCGAUCAACAACAUACAAACUUUGUUGUGUCUUAA